rnacentral:rRNA from 1 species
GAUCCUGGCUCAGGAUGAACGCUAGCUACAGGCUUAACACAUGCAAGUCGAGGGUCUUGACGGAGCUUGCUUCUUGAUAGACGACCGGCGCACGGGGUGAGUAACGCGUAUCCAACCUGCCCUUCAUAUUGGGAUAGCCUUCCGAAAGGGAGAUUAAUACCGAAUAACAUAUCAUUAUUGCAUGAUAUUGAUAUGAAAGAUCCGUCGAUGAAGGAUAGGGAUGCGUUCCAUUAGGUAGUUGGUGAGGUAACGGCUCACCAAGCCCGCGAUGGAUAGGGGUUCUGAGAGGAAGGUCCCCCACACUGGAGCUGAGACACGGUCCAGACUCCUACGGGAGGCAGCAGUGGGGAAUAUUGCACAAUGGGGGAAACCCUGAUGCAGCGACGCCGCGUGAGCGAAGAAGUAUUUCGGUAUGUAAAGCUCUAUCAGCAGGGAAGAUAAUGACGGUACCUGACUAAGAAGCUCCGGCUAAAUACGUG